CAUUUGUCCAAGCACUCAGAUAAUCUGCUUCAAAGCCCUGGGUGACCAGGGACUGCCCAAGGCGGGAUCUUGCAGGAACCAAGACACACAUGAGCAUGUGGGUAGCCUUUCCACUUUGCCACCUGUGUUAUCUGUAGGUGCUGACCCCAUCCCACCAGCCAGGUCCUCAUGCACUUCCCUGAUGUCCUGCUACCAUCUCACAAGAACUGCUGCCUCCACCCUCUGUUGCAAGUCAGCCCUGAACAGGAGCAGCGGGUGGGAGAUGGGCGAGGAGAGCUGCUGGUUCCUCCAGAGGCCAUCCGGCUUUUCUGGUUUCUUAAGAGGGUUUCAGCAAACACACUCCUGUUUUAAGCAUUUUCUAAAAAGCUACUUUUGCAGACUUCAUGUUCUCUUAUGAGCUCAUUUUUUUGCCCAAUGACAUAAAGCAAGGAAUUAGAAAACCACCAUUUCUAAUUGAAACAUAAAAUGGGACAAACGGCGAAUGCCAGAUUCACUCCCUUUCCCUCACUAGGUUUUUCUAGUUCAGACGACAUUUCAAAACCAUUAUAGGGUCUAAACAAUUUUCAAGAAAUGGAAGACAUGGUCUCUGACCUCCACUAUUUUUAUUUCUUUUGUUAAAUAUUUUAAAAAUAUAAUAUAGUACUUUCAGGUCUAUUUAGAAAGUAUGAUGGUAAUAAUCCAAAACCUCACCCCUCAUGAUCUGUACUCCCAGUUUGGCAUAAUGCCUUCCGCUCUUUGUGUCUUCACGUGUUUCAUUUAGUGACACCCAUAAGUUCCAUUUGACUUCAUAAACCUGAGAGCACCAGCUCCACGGGAAGCAAAGGAAGGUGGCAAACACAGUUUCAUCAUCAGAAAGUCCUGAGUUCUUAUAAAGAAAGAGAGAAAGGAGACUUAAGAACAAAACAUUCUCUGCCACUGGAUUUUAAUUAGAACUAUAGUAACCAUGUGAUGUAAAGUUAGAAACAUGCAUUUUGUGAGAUUAAGUUCUCUAAUUCCCACACGUAUGUCUCCUCAUGUUCCAUGUUAUAGGAUGAGUGCAUCCAUUUAAAAUCCCUAAGUUAAAACCUCACCAUUAAUACGCGGGUAUUAGGAGGCCGGGCCUUUGGGGUGAUUAGGAUCAUGAGGGUAUGAAGGUGGGGUAUGGAGGUUAGUGCCUUUCUGGGAGUGCAGGGAAAUUCAUUGUUCUGUUCUGCACAGUGAGAAUGCCACUGUCUGCAAUAGGGGAGAGGGCCCCCAUCAGAAUCCCACCAGCCCAUAGCCUGGCCCUGGACUUCCACCUCCUGAACAGGGAGGAAGAGAUGUUGGUUGUUGAAGCCACUAAGCAUGUGAUGGGUUUAGCAUCCCGAACAGACUGAGACAGUCAGCACUUAAUUUAUGUCCCACAGUGUGAUUUUAUAAUUACCUUUAUUUGGGACCUCUAUCUUCAUAUUAAAAUCAUUCCUAGCUCUUAAAAGUUUUUUGGAACUAUUGUAAAAAUAUUUUCCCAUUUUACAUCAAGUUUUUAUUGUUAAUAUAAUGCAAGAUAAAAUUUUGUAUUUUUAUCUUUAAUCCAGUAAUUUUGUUUCCCAUUAAGAUGGCUUUUAAAAUAGAAGCUCUUGAGUUUGGGUGGCAUAAAAUUAUAUUGAAAUUAAAAACAAAUAGUAGUAUUGCUUUCAAUAUUUUUAUGAUUUUUUUUCACGAACAGAUGUGUUUCUUUCAACAGUUGAGUUUGAAACUCUUGCCUUAAGGUGUUACAAUGAUUAUAUAUCAGGAAUAGACAAUUUCCUACACUGUCAAAUAUAUGAAAGUUGCUUUUGCACACCUUUUUCAACACUGAUCUACAAGCAGAAUCAGUCCCCAUUUGCUUUGACUUAUCCCCUGAGUUAUGCUGAGUGAACUCUGGCCUCUCAGGUGGCAGAGGGCAGGGAGGCUGAGGUGGACCUUCCUGGAGCCACAGAUGAACUGCCACAGUAGAGUGAGAGUGCCCAUCAUGGUGACAUGGGCAAAGUCCCUGCCACACACCUGUAGGUCCAAGUCUCUGAGGACCUGAGGAGCAUGGACACUCCAGAAUCAGCAGGGUAAGGGACAAUUGCACAGAAGACUCUAGCUGUGUCAUCUGCCACAGAUGUCCCAACCAGCUGCACUGCUUUUGUGCACUCGCUGCUGGGCUUAGGAACCACAGACCUGAGUGGCACUCCAAUAGCAUGCUCAGCACAGGUGGCCUUCACCUUGGGUGCACAGUGUCUGUCCCACACAGAGAGGAGCCCUCCCGGGAGCAAUGCUUUUUUUGCCUUCUUCCCUAUACAUUUUGGGAGCUGCAUCCCUCCAAGUGUUGGCACAGCCUGGUUGGAUUUGAAUCUGACCUUCGGCAGCUUCUGUAGGAGCCAAGGCAAAGAACUCAGCUCUGGCAGAGGCAGCCAAACAUAGUGAUGUGCACCAGAGAUAGGCGUUCUCCUCCCCUCGCAGGUUCUAUCCAAGGCUCUGAAAACUUCAUGAAAGCCAAACUGCAAAGCCCUGGCGUAGAGGAGCCAGUGAAAGCUGGACCUAUCCUUUAACCAGAACACAGACACCAUCCUCCUUAAGUAUAAGGAGAAUCCAUUCGAUGUGUCUGGUGCUUUUGGGGGUCCAACUGCACACAGCAUUUCACUAAAUGCAGGGGAACAGCCGUGUGUGUCAGCCCACAACUUAAGACCCCACCAAAGCCCCAUGUGCAUAAAACUCCAUGGAGCCACAGUAACAGCAGUUCUCUUCUACUGCAGGUUGCCAGCUUGCCAAGACUUUGGGGUGGGCACAGGGGCCUGGUGAGGCUGCUGCUGGGUCCCAAGAGGUCACUGUGUACCAGCUGCAGGUGUGGCAUGUUGAAGAAUUUGCCCAUGCCAGGUGUACCAGAGAGGAGCACAUCUUCUUAAGACAGGGAACAGCUGACGGCUCCUUGGAAAGGCUCCCCUGCUUACAGAGGCCAGGUGUGUCCCCCACCCCCCCCACCCCCGUCAAAGUUUUUAUGAAUUAUUUUACUGCAAUGCUUACUGAAUUGACUAGAACAUAUAACAUCAUAUUGGACUAUAAUGCAAACAGCAGAAAUCCAUGAUAUUCAUUGUAUAAACUGAACUGAUUUUGUAUUUCACCAUUUAGAAUAUUUUCUGUUUGUGUUUGACAAGUAGAUUUUUCAAGUCAUCAAAUGGCUACAACUUUUUAAUUCUUUCAGAGUUCCUACUUAGAGUGACUAUUAGGUUUUCCAAAUGCUUCUUAAGGAUCUAUUGAUAGGACCAUAUUGUUAUGUUUUAAAUUAUUUUAGUAGAUUUUAUAGUAUCAAACCAUCCUUGCAAUGUAUGAGCAGAUCCAAGCUGGCUGCAGUAUAUUAAUCUAUGCAAAUAGUCUUGAAUUAUAUUUUCUAUAUUUUUAUUCAUAACUUUUAUCUGUAAUCAUACACAAUGUUGUUUGAGAUUUUUAAAUAUUAUCUAUUUGUAAAACAAUUAUUUUGACCAGAACUCUGUAUUAAAAUUACUCUAGCUUCAUGACUGACCCAGUAGGGAGGCUUUUCUCUUUUCAUGUGAUUGGAAUUGACAGUUUAAAGAGCAGUGAAACCAUCUGGCCUCUAGGGCUGGGCUUUGCUCAGUGCUGGAAUCCUCUGGAUGUGGACUUACAACACCAGCUCCUCCGACGCCUUCCCAAGACUGCAACUCAGCCUCUGUACACUCUCUGCUUCAUCUUGGAUCAGUUAUUGCAACUCACAUUUGGUUAGUAGUUAAACAUUCCCCCAGGUUUUCAAAUUUGUUAUUAAAAGGUUGUAUAACCGCCUAAUGUAUUAUAUGUAAUGCACUGUAUUUACUUAUGCAUGAUGUCAUGUAUUAAUAUCAUUAUGUCCUAGUACAUUUGAUAGGUCAAAUGUUAUAUAUAUUUGUAUAAUUGUAUAUUACACAUAUGUUUUGUCUCCUCCCUUGUUCUAAUCAUGCAUUUUUCCCUUCAAUCUUUAUUUUAAAAUUUUAUCAUAAGCAAAUUUACAAGGGGUUUGUCUAGUAUACUGGUAUUUUCACAAACUAGCUCUUGGGUUUAUUAUUCAUUCUUUUAUUUUUGCCAUUGUUUUAAAAUUAUUAUUAUGCUCAUUUUUUUCUUCACUAAUUUCCUCUUCCUGCUUUCUUUUGGUUUAUUUUAAUUGUUUCCCUAGUUUUCUAUAAUAUAAAGUUUCAUUAUUUUUAAUAUCUCUUUUUUAAUGCAAGCUUUUAAGUUUCUUCAUAUUUCUCUAGGUAAAAUUUAUGCAAUAUUUUAGCUUUGAUGACCUCCUUAUUCCAAAAUUUCUCUAGGGGUAUAUUUCUUAAUUUUUAAGUGUGAAUUUUAUAACGUUUUUAAUGUAUUUUAUAAUGAUAAGAAAUCCUUUCUUUGUUCUAUCAACUUACAAAAUAAUUUUUAUUAUCUAUUUGACAGAUUAUGGAUUCAUAGAUUUCAUUAUGGUUUUAAUUUUGGUCUGUAACUUGUAACUGACUUAGAGAAGGGAAGGAUAUACUAAAAUCUCCCCAGAAUAUAACAUUUUAAUAUAAUUCUUCUAUUCCUAAUAGGUUUUGCUUCAUAUCUUUAACUGCUCUUUUGUGUGCGUACAAAGAUCUAUGAGCCUUUUGCUUGCCUGGGUUGUCUGAGAAGCAGACAUCGGGAUGGGACUGAAUGUGGUGGAAUCUUCCGUGGGAGGUCAACGUAAAGGAACCGGGAGAGGCUGGGGAGGUGUCGCCCGUAGUACAGCUCUGACUCCAAGUACGGGGUUGCUGGGGGAAGGCAGGUGGAGACAGAGCAUCUUGGACGGCAGGCCUCAUAAGAGUCCAUCAAGGCUGUCAGCAGGCCAGGACCAUGGCUGGCUGUCCUGGAAUGCGUGCCCUCCAGGAAGGCUGGCUGGUACUGUGCUGCUCUCCUCCCUGCCUAGGAGGAGCCACCUGGCAGCCACAGCCUGACACGGGGUGCCGGGAGCAGCAGCCAUGUGCUGGUCAUAUGUGCUCCCUGUGGUUGAAAUCAGGUGGUGUGUCCAAUGACACAUGCAUCCAUGUGCCUUCUUCAAAGAGAAGCACGACCUCUGUUAUUAGCCCAGUAUUUUAGCAUUUUCCAAAGCUAUUAGCUCUUGGGAUCUUUUCUCCUACAGAAUAUGGGCAGCACAUUCUAAGAAAUGCUCUUCUCAUUGCUCAUCCUUUGACAGUGCCCUUGUCAUGUCUGAAAUAUUUCACCAACGAUAUCUAUGAAGACAGAGACAACACUUAUGUCAAAUUUGCAGCUGACACUGAAAAAAAAGGAAAAAUAAAUCUGACCGACUCCUGUAAGUCCUUCUACUUAUGCACAAGUGCAAUUCUGAAGGCUUUUUGAAAGGUCAUUUGAUCAUAAAUUCAAAGUAAGGGAGUCUGUUUUAAGUUUGCAAGGCCCAGACACAGACGUGAGUGGUGACCUCGAAGCAUUAAAGCCGGUGUACAUGGUCUUAGCUGGUGUUGUUCUGAAGUUUUGAGGCAGUUCAUCCCCAGGCCAACUCCUGAGCAUCUCUAAAGGUGCUUUGGUUGCUCCUUACUGUGAAGCCAGCAUACACUUGUCUCUCCUCAUUUUGAUUUUGUGCAGAUUCAAAUGGCCAUGAUUCCAUGUGGUCAUCCACGGCUGUGACCAGUUUCCUCAGCAGAAGAAUCACAUUGCUUUGCUUCUGACUCUUGGCUUCAGGCCACUCUGUGUAGAGACUAAAGCCCAUGGGCAUGGUUGGCCCCAGCGUGGCCCCAAGCUCACGUCUAGAUCCCUGGUGCAUCAAGGCCCAGAGGUGGCUUUGGGGGAAGUGAUGGGGUCAGGAGGGCUUACCAGGGAACCAAUCCUUUUGAUGGCUUAGCAAGUGAAAUGGGCCAUUGGGAGCUGGUGGAAGUUGUCAGCUGAGGAGGUAGGUCACUGGGGGACGGUAUCUUGUCCUGUCCCUUUCUGUCGCCUCUCCCUUUCUCUUUGCUUCCCAGCUUCCAUGAGCUGAGCGGCGUUGCUCCAUCCUCCUUCUCCAUGAUGCUCUGGCUCACCUCAGGACCAGAGCAAGGAGCCAGCCAGCCAUGGACUGAACCUCUGAAACCAUGAGCCCAAGUUCUUUCCUCCUUAUGUUGAAAAAAGUUAACACACCUCUGAAACCUGAAGUCCACCCAGAAGGCUGAUCCCACCAGGGCCUCCAGUUGACCUGCCCACCACAAGCCUCUCCUGGUCUUCCUGUCCCUGUUGACUGUGCAGGUGUAGAGCUUUACACUGAUUCACUUUCUGCCCUUGAGGAUUGUCCCUCCUGUGGAGUGACUCAUGCACAGCACCUGCCACUUCCCCACCACAUUCCAUUUUUAUCAGAAGCUUCUUCUGAUUUCCCUGUAAGUUUCUAGGUAUGAAUUCUUUCUAUAUUUUAUUGGCACUUUCAAAUAUUAUGGGUAUAACAAUGCUCCUAAAAUGUCUCAGCAGUAAACACAGACAGCUGAGUCUAAAAUGAGUCUGCAGACGGCUGAUGUCAUCUGUUGGUGGCAGUGGGACCUGACACAAUUUGCUCUGGAGGAAAGCUUUGUUUAUUUUUACUGAAGUUUAUUGGUUGAAACUUAUGAAGAGACACGAUUCUAUAUUAAGCUGGGGACCUGAGGGGACACACAGGUAAUGCUACCUCUGGCUUCCUGGCCCUCAGAGAGACAGCUCCUUCAAAUGCAGAUAGGAAAAGAAAGCCGCGCUUCAUUAAGAAGCCAACUCACAGGAAGCCUCCUUUCCGCGGCUCUCCUCUGCCAUCCUGCCUCUUUGGUAAGCUGGAUCUUAUUUCAACUGGCGCAGGAAGCUUUGGGAUCCAUCUGAAAGGGGCCAUCCCCCACCAUCAAGGGCUCCCUCCUGCUUCGCUCCUGGGUGUGGAUAGCAAGCCUAGCCUCAGCAAGGUGGGAGGUACCUGCUUGGGGUACCAGGUCACCUUUUAUGAAAAGGCUAGAACUGCAUUAACCCAGUGACGCACUGGGUGUUGGGUUUGUCCAGGAACUGGCCCGGUGGUGGCUGGUGGCCUCCUUCAGAUCCUGAAGGGACUCCCAGUGCUUUGUGGUACUUGCAUAGUGUGGCUAAUCUCUAACAGAAGAAACAUAGGUGCUGUCCUCACCUAUGACUCACUCAAAAAGGCCAGGGGCAGCACUGCUUCUUACACUACCCGGGUCAUUCUACCCUCAUCAGCUGGCCGAGGCCCACCUCUGCCCUGGACAAACCUCAGCCUUAGGUAAGGGCAAUGAGAGCACCCACUGCCCAGCACGCCACCCUGUGGGGCUUGGCCUCGAUUUCUGUCUGUCUAUAAGUCUGAGACUCCAGCUGUGCCUGGCUCUGCUUCUACCCAUCUCCUACACCAGAUGAUGGGACGCCAAAUCAAAGUCCCCGGCUGGAGGACAGGACAGAAUCAUCGGAGUGAAAACCUGCGGGAUAGGAGAGCAUGCCAUGAACCAGGCUCUCGUGAGGGGACAGCACCCAGGAUGUGUCACUAUAACUCAACAGCAAACGAGCAUACAACCCAGUGGAAAAUCGGACCUGCGAUUCAAGCCAACACCUUUUGUGGAGAUCUAACCAUACAUUAGGCACAUUCCAGGAACAGGACACCAAAUAAGCCCCAUCCCUGCUGAGUGCACUGGGAUCAAGUGCUGGAAACCAAGAGCCUACAAGUGUGAACGUGGCCCGCCGCCCUUGGGUCGUGUUGAAUCAGGAUGUUGAGGAUUCUAAGGAGUAAGUCAGCUCUCAUAGUGCUGCACUGGUCCUGCAAGAGCAGGUGCUGUCAGGGAGCCCCGUACCUCCCUGGGUCUUUCUUGACACACUUCUGCACUCUCCCAUCUGUCCUUCCACCAGGAGACCCUCGCCAGAAGCCAAGCAGAUGCUGGAACAACCCAGAGCAGAACUAUGAGCUAAACAAAUAUCUUUUCCUUAUAAAGUACUCAGAUUCUGGUAUUUUAUUAUAGCAACACAAAAACAAGACAAAAAGGAUACUAAAAUCAUACAAAAACAAAACAUCAAAAUCAAGCCAUAUGGGGCUGGGUUUGUGGCUCAGUGGUAGAGUGCUCGCCUGGCAUGUGAGAGGCACUGGGUUCCAUCCUCAAUCCCACUUAAAAAUGAAAUAAAGAUAUUG
rnacentral:lncRNA from 1 species